rnacentral:rRNA from 1 species
GGGUUGUGAGGUUAAGCGACCAAGCGUACACGGUGGAUGCCCUGGCAGUCAGAGGCGAUGAAGGACGUGCUAAUCUGCGAAAAGCGCCGGUAAGGUGAUAUGAACCGUUAUAACCGGCGAUGUCCGAAUGGGGAAACCCAGUGUGACUCGUCACACUAUCAUUAACUGAAUCCAUAGGUUAAUGAGGCGAACCGGGGGAACUGAAACAUCUAAGUACCCCGAGGAAAAGAAAUCAACCGAGAUUCCCCCAGUAGCGGCGAGCGAACGGGGAGGAGCCCAGAGCCUGAAUCAGCAUGUGUGUUAGUGGAAGCGUCUGGAAAGGCGCGCGAUACAGGGUGAGAGCCCCGUACACAAAAGCGCACAUGCUGUGAGCUCGAUGAGUAGGGCGGGACACGUGGUAUCCUGUCUGAAUAUGGGGGGACCAUCCUCCAAGGCUAAAUACUCCUGACUGACCGAUAGUGAACCAGUACCGUGAGGGAAAGGCGAAAAGAACCCCGGCGAGGGGAGUGAAACAGAACCUGAAACCGUGUACGUACAAGCAGUGGGAGCCUCUCUUUAUGGGGGGUGACUGCGUACCUUUUGUAUAAUGGGUCAGCGACUUAUAUUCUGUAGCAAGGUUAACCGCAUAGGGGAGCCGAAGGGAAACCGAGUCUUAAU